UGGGGAAUAUUGCACAAUGGGCGCAAGCCUGAUGCAGCCAUGCCGCGUGUAUGAAGAAGGCCUUCGGGUUGUAAAGUACUUUCAGUCGGGAGGAAGGUGGUAAGGUUAAUAACCUUGGCAAUUGACGUUACCGACAGAAGAAGCACCGGCUAACUCCGUGCCAGCAGCCGCGGUAAUACGGAGGGUGCAAGCGUUAAUCGGAAUUACUGGGCGUAAAGCGCACGCAGGCGGUUUGUUAAGUCAGAUGUGAAAUCCUCGGGCUCAACCUGGGAACUGCAUCUGAUACUGGCAAGCUUGAGUCUCGGAGAGGGGGGUAGAAUUCCAGGUGUAGCGGUGAAAUGCGUAGAGAUCUGGAGGAAUACCGGUGGCGAAGGCGGCCCCCUGGACGAAGACUGACGCUCAGGUGCGAAAGCGUGGGGAGCAAACAGG
rnacentral:rRNA from 1 species